UACGUAGGGAGCAAGCGUUGUCCGGAAUCAUUGGGCGUAAAGCGCGCGUAGGUGGCUUCGUAAGUCCGUUGUGAAAGUCAAAGGCUCAACCUUUGAAAGCCGAUGGAUACUGCGGAGCUAGAGUACGGAAGAGGCGAGUGGAAUUCCUGGUGUAGCGGUGGAAUGCGCAGAUAUCAGGAGGAACACCAAUAGCGAAGGCAGCUCGCUGGGACGUUACUGACACUGAGGAACGAAAGCUAGGGGAGCGAAUGGG
rnacentral:rRNA from 1 species